GUGGGGAAUCUUGCGCAAUGGGCGAAAGCCUGACGCAGCGACGCCGCGUGCGGGAUGACGGCCUUCGGGUUGUAAACCGCUUUCAGCAGGGACGAGGCCGCAAGGUGACGGUACCUGCAGAAGAAGCCCCGGCUAACUACGUGCCAGCAGCCGCGGUAAUACGUAGGGGGCGAGCGUUAUCCGGAUUCAUUGGGCGUAAAGCGCGCGUAGGCGGCCAGUUAGGUCGGGAGUCAAAUUUCGGGGCUCAACCCCGUCUCGCUCCCGAUACCGGCUGGCUUGAGUGUGGUAGGGGAAGGCGGAAUUCCCGGUGUAGCGGUGGAAUGCGCAGAUAUCGGGAAGAACACCGGUGGCGAAGGCGGCCUUCUGGGCCAUCACUGACGCUGAGGCGCGAAAGCUAGGGGAGCAAACAGG
rnacentral:rRNA from 2 species